AGAAAGGAACCAUCUCUGCUCCUCAAGAUUCUAGCCUCCAAGGAGAAAGAUUCUGCCUGGCACGUUUCCUUUAAUGCCAACCUCUGUCACACAAGUCAUGGAUCCUAGACAACUCUGAGAGGCUCAUAACCAAAAAAAAAAAAAGUAGGAUAAGACAUGAAAAAGCAGGCACCAAUCAUUUGGGAAAUGGAUGAAUAAAUUGUGGUACAUUAAUGAAAUGGAACAUCAUUGUGUUGCACAAAACAUUGAAGGUUUACAUUCAAAACUCAUGUUUACCUUUGUUGACAUUCAUCUGCUUUCCAAGUAUAUGGUUGGUAUAUUGAGAGACUGACAGACAAAGAGAGAAAGAAAAACUGAAAAAGUGCCCCAGAUGGAGACAGAAACAGAAGAGUCAAAAAAGAGGAAGAGUUCAGAGAGACUGGGAUAUAGAGACAAAGGCAAGAAAAAGACACUAAAAUAGCUAAAUCUUGCACU
rnacentral:lncRNA from 1 species